AUUAUCCAGAACCCUGUUGAAUCUGGUUCUCUAUACUUUUACGCUGUUCUGUGAAUGAACUUUGAAGCGUCUUCAUGUAAAAGUGCAAUCUUUAAUUGAAUUUUCUUGAAUCACUUCUGCUUUUCGGGAGUGCCAGCGAAGGCGAGGCUUUAAUCUGUACCAAAAUUUAUUUUGUUGAAAGAUAGAAAUUUUAUUCAUAUGAUUUUCGCAGAUUGACUUACGAACAGAUUUUAUCAUAAAAAUCCAUGGAUGCAAAAUCUAAAUGGGACCACGUGUCAGAGGCACUAAUCUCAUUCACCCUAAAGCGCACGGCACGCUCGUCUUGUAGCUAGAUAAUGAUGGAGACAAACAACGAAGCGCACUAGAUCAAUCUGAAAAAUAGACUAAAACGUUGGGCUUACCGCAAUUGAAGAAGACAGAAGGAUAAUGUGCAGCGACGCAGGAAAUGGAAAACUGGUCUGCAUCACUGGCGCUUCUGGAUUUAUUGCUGCGUGGCUCGUUAAGCUCCUCCUUCUUCGUGGUUACACCGUCAAUGGCACUGUUUGCGAUCUAUGAUUCAAGAAAAGAAGGACACUUGCUUAAACUUGAUGGUGCAAGGGAGAGAUUGCAUCUAUUUAAAGCAAAUCUCCUGGAAGAAGGUCCCUUUGACGCUGCCGUUGAGUGGUGCGAGGGGGUCUUUCAUACUGCAUCUCCCGUUGUUUCUAAUGUCAAAGACCCACAGGUUCCUAUCAUCUUUAAAUUGUUGAAUGAUGACUGAAAGUAGACUGCAACUUCGCCUUUGCUAUGGUAUGAAUUUUCAAAGACUUUAGCUGAAGAUGCUGCCUGGAAAUUUGUAAAAGAAAACAGCAUUGACAUGGUCGCUAUCAACCCAUCAUUUGUGAUAGGACUACUCCUGCAACCAUCUCUUAAUGAAAGUUCAGCAGCAGUUUUAAAUCUGAUAAAUUGUAAUUUUCAUAUAAUCACAAGAAUCAUGUUGUACUGACAUCCUGGUAGUUGAUUUGUCCUAAUCAUAGUCACUUCAUAUUUUUUUAAAGAGAAUUUUUUUUUGGCUCCAAUUAAUUGACUGAAAGGGGGAAAGGAGUGAAAAUGUUGAGGUGGACUUAUGAGGUUUGGGAUGGAAAAAAUGAGGGUUAAAAUGAUUCUAAUCAGAAACUUUGAAUUGACUUACAUGUAUGUAUAUUAGAUCACAAUGCAUAACAUUAUGCUAGAUCAGGGUCUCAAAACAACAGUGCUCUAUGAUUUUGUCUCCAUGAAGAAUGGCAGAAAGAGGGAAUGCAUUGGACAGCCUUAAUGAGGGAGGCUUGUUUUAUAUAUAUAUAUAUAUAUAUAUUUUAUGACAGAAAAUGUAGGCUGUAUAGCUUGAGAUACAAAUAGUUGGCAUCACAUGCUCUUACUAGAAAAGAAGAAAGAUAAGCAGAUGCAAUUUUAGCUAUUUUCAUUCUUGAAAAAAGGAUUAAGAUACAGGGGAUAUUUCUUUGAAUUCUCAUUUCCCUCUUAGCACGUGGAAGACAAGGCCUAAGAUGGGUGUUGUUAGCUAUGGUUUCAUCUUUCUCAGAAAUAAGUUGAAGUCUGAGAGCACUUGUUUCUACAAUUUUUGGUUUACAAUCCAAUAAUCUCUUUCCCGAUAACAAUCUAAUUCUAUGAAUUUAAUUUAUUCUUAUUUUGAGGAAUGUUGGUUGAUUUGAAUGUGUGUUAACUAUUUUAUUGUUUUGGUUCUGGGACAAGAGUUUUUGUUUAAUUCCUUUUGACAUUCUUCUGUUGCUUGUUUGACUUAGGAUCACAAACGUUUCUAAAGAUCACUGGUGGAUGAAUCAAUGUAAAAGAUGUUGCAAAUGCCCAUAUCCAAGCAUUUGAGAUUCCCACAGCUAAUGGAAGAUGUUGUUUGGUUGAGUCUGCGGCAUACCACUCAGAGGUUGUGAAGAUUUUGCAUGAAUUGUACCCAAGAUUACUUCCAGAUGAGUAAGUUAACUAUUUAUGUUAUUUAUAUUUUUUUGCUGAACCCACAUUUGCUUGUGUUUUCUCAUUUCCAUGUUGCUGCUAAAAAUGGUGAUCGCAUAAUCACCUGGUAGUUGGCCAAAGUGGUUGGUUAAAAUGAUAUUUUAAUAUUUUAUACAGGUAAGAAAUAACAUUAGUCUAUUGGAAAUUAUUUGCAAUUUAAGGGAUUUAAUCAGUAUUAAUUCUCUUAGAAGGUAUUUUUUGUAUUUUUUGGGGUCCUUUUCUAUAAUUUUCUGGCUCUCUCUCUGUAAUUUUUUUUGGUCAACAAACGGUUAAAUUAGUGGUUAUUUAAUGAAUAGACGAUAUUGUUUCUUUUUUAAUAUGCAAAAGGAAAUAUUGUGCCACCCUUGACUUUCAAGAUACCUAGUACUUUUGGAAAAAAGUUCAAGGGUAAAUUAGCAUUCAACACUUUAACCGUUUGAUGUAUUGUCUAACAACUAAUGGCUUGCUGUGCCUUUGUUCAAAUAUGAACGACUGAGUUGUGUAUUUAGCUUAUUUUUUCAGAAUAGAAGUGCUUUAAUAAUGAGUCAUGCAAAAUCAAAAGUCCUAAAGGCAUAGGUUCAGUAUGCAAGGCAGGAUACAACAUAGUCUCACACUUUGGGGAGUGAUACAUGAACCACAAUGAACUCAAAAAUCAUUUCAUGAACUUGGAUCACCGGCCAGUUUGCAUUAUGAGUUUGUCUCACUAAUUGUGCUCGUUGGUGAUAAUCCAAUCCUUCAUGAGCAGGUCUCUGAUCUCAUUAACAUAUGUGCUAAGCAGAUAGUUUGUAAAGUCUUCUCUAGCAAUAAAGUUCAAGGCUUAAAUGGAGUCACUGCAAACCAUCACUCUUAUAAUUCCGCUGCCAUGCUUUACAAAAAUCUACUGACAUUUUCAUCACAGAAUUUGGCCUCCACAAGUAGCUUUUCUUCUAUGGUCAACCGGACCAUCUGCGUCAAGUCUCACCCACAAAUGUCAAGUGUUAACUUCAACUGGACAGAAAACUGCAUUGCGUUGCUCCUUGCUUAUAGUGACCGUUCCUUGAACUUGAUGAUAAUGUAUUUGGAUUAUAACCCAUAAUCCUGCACUCUACUUUCUUUGCAGUUCAGUAUGUAUUUAUUUUGUUUAAUUUUCUUUGUUUAUUUAUUUAUUUAUUUUUUUGACUUCACUAUAAAAUUUAUUAGGCGUUUGGACAGUGAGCCCUUAAUGCUGAAGUAUCAGGUUUCCAAGGAAAAGCGAAGGACCUUGGGAAUUGAGUUUAUUCCACCAGAGGUGGGCCUGAAAGAGAUUGUUGAAAGCUUGAAAGAGGAAUUUUGUUAACAUUUAGCUCUAAAUGUAGUCUCUGUCAGAAUACUAAAUGCUUGUUGUAACCGUAACGCAUGCUUUGAGCUUGUAUUUUGUUUUAAUAACCAUAUGUCUCUUGGAACACUCCCUCCGGUUCUUAAUGCAAGGUAAACUAAAUCAA